rnacentral:rRNA from 1 species
GUGCCAGCCGCCGCGGUAAUACCGGCAGCACGAGUGAUGGCCGAUAUUAUUGGGCCUAAAGCGUCCGUAGCUGGCCGGACAAGUCCGUUGGGAAAUCCACCCGCUUAACGGGUGGGUGUCCAGCGGAAACUGUCCGGCUUGGAGCCGGAAGAUCCGAGGGGUACGUCCGGGGUAGGAGUGAAAUCCCGUAAUCCUGGACGGACCGCCGGUGGCGAAAGCACUUCGAGAAAACGGAUCCGACAGUGAGGGACGAAAGCCAGGGUCUCCAACCGGAUUAGAAACCCUGGUAGUCC